rnacentral:rRNA from 1 species
UGUAUGUAAAUGUCGUAACAAGGUUUCCGUAGGUGAACCUGCGGAAGGAUCAUUAUCGUAGGGGCCUCGCCCCCUUCGAGAUAGCACCCUUUGUUUAUGAGCACCUCUCGUUUCCUCGGCAGGCUCGCCUGCCAACGGGGACCCACCACAAACCCAUUGUAGUACAAGAAGUACACGUCUGAACAAAACAAAACAAACUAUUUACAACUUUCAACAACGGAUCUCUUGGUUCUGGCAUCGAUGAAGAACGCAGCGAAAUGCGAUAAGUAGUGUGAAUUGCAGAAUUCAGUGAAUCAUCGAAUCUUUGAACGCACAUUGCGCCCUUUGGUAUUCCUUAGGGCAUGCCUGUUCGAGCGUCAUUUCAACCCUCAAGCCUAGCUUGGUGUUGGGCGUCUGUCCCGCCUCCGCGCGCCUGGACUCGCCUCAAAAGCAUUGGCGGCCGGUUCCCAGCAGGCCACGAGCGCAGCAGAGCAAGCGCUGAAGUGGCUGCGGGUCGGCGCACCAUGAGCCCCCCCACACCAGAAUUUUGACCUCGGAUCAGGUAGGGAUACCCGCUGAACUUAAGCAUAUCAAUAAGGCGGAGGAA